AGGGAGGGGUCAGCAGCUGGAACUGCGCAUGCUCCGUGCGAGCCCCCCGUGGGGACGGGAGAACAAAGCUGUUGCUGGUGCCUCUGUGUGAGCCGGGCCCGGGCUGAGCAGCUGCUGCUGCGUCCGGGCUUCUGUUCAGAGACAAAGAGCAGGUCUACACUACCACCGGAUCGGCAGGUAGCGCUCUCCCAUCAACUCCAGUACUCCACUGCCUUAAGGGGCGAAUGCGGAGUCGAUGGGUUAGCAGCAGCAGUCGGAUGCUGUGGCUGCCGAAUGACGUCCAUGUUUCGCUCCAGCUCAUCCCAUCCUGCC